rnacentral:rRNA from 1 species
ACGGCCGUAACAUGCUGAAUAUACCGGUUCUCGAUAGAUCACCGAAGUCAAGCAUCAUUGGGCGCGGUCAGUACUUGGGUGGGUGACCACCUGGGAAAACCGCGUG